AUUGAACGCUGGCGGCAUGCCUAACACAUGCAAGUCGAACGGCAGCGCGGGGGCAACCCUGGCGGCGAGUGGCGGACGGGUGAGGAAUGCAUCGGAAUCUGCCUGGUUGUGGGGGAUAACGUAGGGAAACUUACGCUAAUACCGCAUACGACCUACGGGUGAAAGUGGGGGACCGCAAGGCCUCACGCGAUCAGAGGAGCCGAUGCCGGAUUAGCUAGUUGGCGGGGUAAAGGCCCACCAAGGCGACGAUCCGUAGCUGGUCUGAGAGGAUGAUCAGCCACACUGGAACUGAGACACGGUCCAGACUCCUACGGGAGGCAGCAGUGGGGAAUAUUGGACAAUGGGCGCAAGCCUGAUCCAGCAAUGCCGCGUGAGUGAAGAAGGCCUCGGUUGUAAAGUACUCUUUCGGUCCGGGAACGGAAAGUACGACACAGGUUAAUAACCUCGUGUGGAUGACGGUACCGGAACGUAAGAAGAC
rnacentral:rRNA from 1 species